rnacentral:rRNA from 1 species
UACGUAGGGUCCGAGCGUUGUCCGGAAUUACUGGGCGUAAAGAGCUCGUAGGUGGUUUGUCGCGUUGUUCGUGAAAACUCACAGCUUAACUGUGGGCGUGCGGGCGAUACGGGCAGACUGGAGUACUGCAGGGGAGACUGGAAUUCCUGGUGUAGCGGUGGAAUGCGCAGAUAUCAGGAGGAACACCGGUGGCGAAGGCGGGUCUCUGGGCAGUAACUGACGCUGAGGAGCGAAAGCAUGGGGAGCGAACAGG